UCCGGUUUGUCACCGGCAGUCAUCCUAGAGUGCCCACCUUCACGUGCUGGCAACUAAGAUCAAGGGUUGCGCUCGUUGCGGGACUUAACCCAACAUCUCACGACACGAGCUGACGACAACCAUGCACCACCUGUCUCUCUUGUCCCGAAGGCCUAGCCUAUCUCUAGACUAUUCAAGAGGAUGUCAAGACCUGGUAAGGUUCUUCGCGUUGCUUCGAAUUAAACCACAUACUCCACUGCUUGUGCGGGUCCCCGUCAAUUCCUUUGAGUUUCAGUCUUGCGACCGUACUCCCCAGGCGGAAUGCUUACUGUGUUAACUUCGGCACCAAGGGUAUUGAAACCCCUAACACCUAGCAUUCAUCGUUUACGGCGUGGACUAC
rnacentral:misc_RNA from 1 species